UACGAAGGGGGCUAGCGUUGCUCGGAAUCACUGGGCGUAAAGCGCACGUAGGCGGAUUGCUAAGUCAGGGGUGAAAUCCUGGAGCUCAACUCCAGAACUGCCUUUGAUACUGGCAAUCUCGAGUCCGGGAGAGGUGAGUGGAACUCCUGGUGUAGCGGUGAAAUGCGCAGAUAUCAGGAGGAACACCAGUGGCGAAGGCGGCUCACUGGCCCGGUACUGACGCUGAGGCGCGAAAGCGUGGGGAGCAAACAGG
rnacentral:rRNA from 1 species